GCCUAUGUGUUUAGUGCCAUGGUCCUAUCUUUUGGACGUUAUAUAUGUAUUGUAAAGACUGAGAAAAACAAAUAAAUAUAUAUAUAUAUUAAUGGGUGGGACCCACUUAAGUGAAAAGAGUCAGUGGACUCUUUCUUUUUUUUUCUUCUUUUCCUUUUCCUUCUUUUCUUUCUCUUUCCCCGACUGCCCUCUCUCUCUUCUCUUUCUCUUUUUUCUCUCUUCUCUCCACGGCAACACACCACCACCACCACUAAGACCCAACCUCCGGCAACCACCAUUUUUGGCAUACGGCGGCUCAUUGGAUUCGUCUUGCUCCGGCGACCUCAACCACCAAGCGGCACCGCCCAACUCGCCGUAAGUUGUUCGGAAUAGUCAGUCAAAUUUUGGUCCGUCAACUUUGACUGUGUUUUCCGGCCAACUCCGACCACCACUCGGCAAGUGGUUGAUACCUUUGGAACCAGCGUGGAGAGAGGAGCAAAACCCACUAGGUCAUUCCGGUCAACUCGCCGUUUUUCUCCGGCAAGAUUUUGGGUAUCUCCGCCCUUUGGAAGCGUUUUCCGGCGACACCGGAGGUCAUUUGGGCGAAGGAGCUGUACUUUCGUGAUGUACUCAUCGCGAGGAUCGUUUUGAUAUAUGCCAUGCAUAUAUUCGUCGACGUUUCCGGUACCGCCACCAACCGCUAUAGUGCACUGCUUGGGUAAGGUUCCGGAACUUGAAAUUUUAAAUAUGGUCAUAUUAUAUGUCAUUGGGCACGAUUUUGAAUAAGGAAUGCUAUGAUGAUAAUCGUUUGCUCAUUUGGUGCACGUAGGAAAAACGUGAUAUUAAAAUCGGACUAAAUCAUUCUAAGAUCAUCGAUAAGCUUAGGAGCGUUGCUUUGGGCUCGGAUUAAAUUCUAAGGAGGUAUCUAAAGAGGAGCCUAGUGACGCGAACGUGGAAAAGUGUGAAUUAUUGCUGAAGCCAAUGUGUUUAGUGUCAUAGUCCUAUCUUUUGAACAUUGUAUGUACUUAAUUUGGAACCUAUCGGUCUGUACAUCUAAAUUAGCUAUGUCCUAGUUAGAAAUGAGGAAUGGUGGAUGCUAAGUAUUAUUUUGGGUAUUUUAUGACUCAUUAAAUUUAACUGUUUGGUGACUACAUAACUGUGGGGAUAUUAUUAUUCUAUGUAUUAAGAUAAAUGAUCCUACUUUUAUC